CUCCCUUUGAUCAACAUCCUUUUACCUAAUCUGUUGGUGGCACACUAACACUCAUAUCUAUCCUUUUUUGAAGCAAGCUUGGCAUAUGUUGGUAUAUGGGAUGCCCAUGAUGCAAUAGUUUUGGGUGGUUAUUUUUAGUAACCACCCAACCCUAUUUAAAAAAAGUAAAAAACUAUAAGACAGCGAGAAGAUAUACAUUCUGAAGAAAAAAUAGAACAAAAAAUAAC
rnacentral:lncRNA from 1 species